rnacentral:rRNA from 1 species
GAUGAACGCUAGCGGCAGGCUUAACACAUGCAAGUCGUGGGGCAGCGCGGACUUCGGUCUGGCGGCGACCGGCAAACGGGUGCGGAACACGUACGCAACCUCCCUCAGAGCGGGAAUAGCCUCUCGAAAGAGAGAUUAAUACCCCAUAGUAUCUUGAAGACACAUGUCUAUGAGAUUAAAGCUUCGGCACUUUGAGAUGGGCGUGCGGCUGAUUAGGUAGUUGGUAGGUAACGGCCUACCAAGCCGACGAUCAGUAGCUGAUGUGAGAGCAUGAUCAGCCACACGGGCACUGAGACACGGGCCCGACUCCUACGGGAGGCAGCAGUGAGGAAUAUUGGUCAAUGGAGGAAACGUACUGAACCAGACCAUGCCGCGUGGAGGA